AUAUGGUAUGAAAGGAGAAAAGUUUAACACUCUCCUUGAAAAGGAUGGAAGAAGCCCUUGGGUCUAACAAAACACAUUCGGUAAAGGCAUUGCCACCUACUUAGUGGCAUCUAAUCGUUGUUUUAG